rnacentral:rRNA from 1 species
GACAGAGGGUGCAAACGUUGUUCGGAAUUACUGGGCGUAAAGCGCGUGUAGGCGGCUAAGUAAGUCAGGCGUGAAAUCCCACGGCUCAACCGUGGAAGUGCACUCGAAACUGCAUAGCUAGAGUCCUGGAGAGGAAGGUGGAAUGCUUGGUGUAGAGGUGAAAUUCGUAGAUAUCAAGCGGAACACCGGUGGCGAAGGCGGCCUUCUGGACAGUGACUGACGCUGAGACGCGAAAGCGUGGGGAGCAAACAGG